rnacentral:piRNA from 1 species
AAUUUGUGACUGAGGAUCAUUUGUUUG